rnacentral:tRNA from 2 species
GUGGGUGUAACUCAUUAAGGCAGAGUGUCAGUCUUCCAAACUGAAUGUAGCGAGUUCGAUUCUCGUCGCCCACU